rnacentral:rRNA from 1 species
GAUGAACGCUGGCGGCGUGCCUAAUACAUGCAAGUCGAGCGAACAGACGAGGAGCUUGCUCCUCUGCCGUUAGCGGCGGACGGGUGAGUAACACGUGGAUAACCUACCUAUAAGACUGGGAUAACUUCGGGAAACCGGAGCUAAUAACGGAUAAUAUAUUGAACCGCAUGGUUCAAUAGUGAAAGACGGCUUUGCUGUCUCUUAUAGAUGGAUUCGCGCCGCAUUAGCUAGUUGGUAAGGUAACGGCUUACCAAGGCGACGAUGCGUAGCCGACCUGAGAGGGUGAUCGGCCACACUGGAACUGAGACACGGUCCAGACUCCUACGGGAGGCAGCAGUAGGGAAUCUUCCGCAAUGGGCGAAAGCCUGACGGAGCAACGCCGCGUGAGUGAUGAAGGUCUUCGGAUCGUAAAACUCUGUUAUUAGGGAAGAACAAAUGUGUAAGUAACUAUGCACGUCUUGACGGUACCUAAUCAGAAAGCCACGGCUAACUACGUG